rnacentral:misc_RNA from 1 species
AGGAGUUGUACAUUGAGAAGGUGCUGGCAAAUCACUUUAAAUUGUCAAAGGAGCAGUCACCCAAGACUGCCGAGGAGCGUGAUCACAUGGCACUUGUUCCAUAUGCUUCAGCAAUUGGUAGUUUGAUGUAUGCUAUGGUCUGCACUAGACCUGAUAUAGCACAUGCAGUGGGAGUUGUUAGCAGGUACAUGGCGAACCCUGGGAAAGAGCAUUGGGAAGCUGUGAAGUGGAUUUU